CCUCCUGUGCCAAAGCCAGCAGCAGGAGGGUUGGACACACCAAAGGUCAGGCCAGCCGACGGGUUGAGACCAGGACUACUGAAGUUAAAUCCUGAACUGCUGGUUGUACCGAAGCCUAGAGAGACAAAAAAUAAACAAACAGAUGCUGCCUAUUGUUUGGGCCACAUGAUCAAGGUGUAGACUGGACAAAAUGUGUGUACCUGCACUCAGACUGCCCCCUGUGGGCUUAUUGGUGGAGAAUGCAAAAGAACCCCCAGUGCCCACACCACCAAAUCCAGGCCCACCACCAAAACCUGCAGAACAAAGUAACACAGAUGUUCUAACAAAGUGAGGUGAAGAAGAACUUUCUAGAACUUGUAGGCUGUCAGACCUGGAUUUGGCUGCUGUUGCUGGGUCAACGUGGCUGCCAUGGCAACUGCUGCAGCGUUGGGCACACUGGAGAAAGGGGCA